GUGGCUAUAGCUCAGUUGGUAGAGCCCUGGAUUGUGAUUCCAGUUGUCGUGGGUUCGAAGCCCAUUAGCCACCCCA
rnacentral:tRNA from 1 species